AAUCUCCCAAUCUGCGCGAUUGCACUUGUCUGAAGUAGUGUAAUUGUCGUAAAUGGAGAGAGAGAGAAACUUGAGUUUUGUGUGUAUAUCAGAGGGACCCUGCUGUGGUCUCCCUGUUCCUUCCUCAAUCCUACAUUU
rnacentral:snoRNA from 1 species